GGUGGAGCAUGUGGUUUAAUUCGAUGAUACGCGAGGAACCUUACCAGGGCUUAAAUGUAGUCUGACAGGCGUGGAAACAUGCUUUUCUUCGGACAGAUUACAAGGUGCUGCAUGGUUGUCGUCAGCUCGUGCCGUGAGGUGUCAGGUUAAGUCCUAUAACGAGCGCAACCCCUGUUGUUAGUUGCCAGCGAGUCAUGUCGGGAACUCUAACAAGACUGCCAGUGCAAACUGUGAGGAAGGUGGGGAUGACGUCAAAUCAUCACGGCCCUUACGUCCUGGGCCACACACGUGCUACAAUGGUAGGUACAGAGAGCAGCCACUGCGCGAGCAGGAGCGAAUC
rnacentral:rRNA from 1 species